rfam:Hordeum vulgare subsp. vulgare, WGS project CAJW01000000 data, contig: morex_contig_48266
AUAAUACUCCCUCCAUUUCAAAAUUCUUAUCUUAGCUUUGUGUAGUAUUGAAUGUAUCUAAAUAUUAAAACGUGACUAGAUACAUUUAUAUCUCGACAAAACUAAGACAAGAAUUUUGAGACGGAAGAAGUACUAG